GGAAAUCUCACCAGGCCCGGACACUGGAAGGAUUGACAGAUUGAGAGCUCUUUCUCGAUUCGGUGGGGGGUGGUGCAUGGCCGUUCUUAGUUGGUGGAGUGAUUUGUCUGGUUAAUUCCGAUAACGAACGAGACUCUGUCCUGCUAAAUAGUGUCAGCCUCUCUUUUGGGCUGACAAUUCUUCUUAGAGGGACUGGCGGCACCUAGCCGCACGAAAUAGAGCAAUAA
rnacentral:rRNA from 1 species